CUGCAUUCUGUGGUGUUAUUUGCGUAAUUCCUUGUUUUCUUGAAUGAUGUAGGGACUGAGGCACUUAGUGAGAUGGUCUGAACAAACUGAAAUGAGGAAUUAGGAGUCAAACUCCGAAGCCAGAGUUCAGGAGCCAGAGCCAAGGGCAGGAGGAAGAGCUGUCCUGUCCACCGCUGUGUUGGAGAUGUAGAUCACACAAGGAAAUCUGCAGGAAAGGCCUAAGCAGGGUGGUGCUCUGUGUGCUGAAUUAUCAAGCGGCUGACGAGUUCUUAAAGGCUUAGAAG
ensembl:lncRNA